CCUUAUAUAUUUCUAUACUGUUGAAUUUUUAACAGUAUCUAUUACUUUAUAGAAAAAUAAAAGAUGCUUCCAUUGUAAAAGAUGCAGAAAGUGGGGUCCUAAUUCUGCCAGGUUGCUGGUUCGGCCAGCCCAAGGGAGACAGAGCAGAAGGAGGGUGACAAUCCACGUAACUGAAACCUACUCCCGUGGCUCUUGACCACAGCCUAGUGUCGAUGUGCGUUCUCCAGCCCGGGGCGUCAGCAUCUUUAAUGCAUCACCCCAGGUCCCUCAACUUUCUUCCUGUUCUUCUCCUCAGUUGCUAGGCAAUAUGUAAUUAAAUUUUGGAAAGCCUCCUCCACCCUGGAUAUAUUAUCCUGGAAAUUGGACUUUGCAUCUGGCAGUCUUAGAAAGCAAAAUUCGACUCUCCUCAGCCCCCCACCCUCUGGCUUGCAAUUGACUCACAAUUUAAUUAAAAAGAUUCCAGGGACAUCUGGUCUCCUCUUCUACGAGUGCAUUUACAGUCAGUUUUUCUGGCGUGUUUUUGUUCGCAAGCCAUGGAUUUAUUUACAGAGGCAGAGAAACUGAUUUUCAUCUCUUAGGUAUCUCUUUGUGGUCUUUAUUAAUGCUGUGUUUUAUAAGCUAUGACUGUUCCUCUGCAUUGUAAGCUCCUAAUGGUCUGUUUCUCCCUGAGCUCUACUCAGUCAAUGAGUGAUCAGUGAUGCCACGAAGGUACCCGCCACCCUGCUGACCCCGCCCAGAGCAUAGGACGCCUUACACUGCUGGGAAAUCCGGGACACAGCCCCGUUUGCCAAUCCCCAGCCCCUGUGUCCCUUACCAUCAAUAGAACUUUUUGGUUGGACAUUUUCUUUUAUUUUCACAAAAUAAAUAUAGAAAGAGCUCUUAGAGAGAUGGCAGAGGAAUGUAGGGAGAACUGAGCCAGGAGCUGACUGGGUGAUCUCUGGCAAACCACCUGCCCUUUCUGGGCCUCUGUUCCACCUGCAAAAUAGGCGGUUGGACUUAAUAGGCAUUUCCCAAACAUUGGGUUCAUUCCAUACUUGCGUGAUUUCUUCUGUAUCUGCAUGCCUCCUAUACUAUUGUAUAUCCAAAAUUUUUCUUUAAAUUGACUCUCUUUUCUUCCAUAAAUGUGUGUAUUUAUAAUGGGCACUUUAAAUCACUACAUAAAUGGUAAGGUAUUAUCGCUCACUGUAAAUAGAAGGUAACUGUAAAAAUGAGUAUAAUGAAAACAAAACAAUGUUGCCAACUUGUAACUAGAUGUUUCUGCCAAGGCUCUGUGCCCAACACUUGUUCUCUCUUUGUUAAAAAGGGAAAUUAGCAAAUGUUUGGAGACUUGUUAGAGGCAUAUUAAUAUGACUUUGAAACUUUCUCCUUAAACAGUUCCGGGAGGCUUGAAAGAGACGGGAGAAGGAAAUCAACUCCUGAUUAAAGGAUAAUUUAAAAAGAACAGCAGCCUAGGUAAUCUUGAGAGUCCUUUCUGGUUCUAGCAGAUUCUCAUAAGAAUAGACCAUAGCAGAGGGUGAGUGCAGACUCCAGGAGCUGAAGUUGGGUCCUCUUCCAUCAGGCCUCUUCUCUGAGUUAUGACAUCCUGUGUCACCAGAGAGAAGGUGUGUGUGGGUGGGGAUACUGUUCAGGAAUAUCUUUCGCUAAUUCAUUCAUUCAUUCAUUCGGACAUGGAUGGCCUGGUUGGGUAUAAUGCCAAGAGCUGGGGUCACAUAAGUAGAUGUGAGCUCAAAUGUGGGCUUGCCGUUUACUAGCUGUUUUACCCUGAAUAUGUAUUUGCCCCUGCUUCUCAUCUAUAAGAUUGCGAUUAGAAAAGAUCUAGAUCUUAGACCGAGCAUUCAGUCUCAUAGGAAGGACUGAAAUACAAAACUAACCCAGAACACAAUAUGCUCCAAUAUUAAGAGAGGAUGUCACAGGGUUUGGAGAACCAGAGGAUGGAGCGGCUGACUCUGCCACAGAAGAGACUUCAUGUUAGCUGACCUUGAAGGGAGGGGCCUCUUUGGAGGCAGAGAACAUAGAAAUGAGAUACUGGGCAGAACGGAAGCUUGUGCAAUGGUGAAGGGGUGGGACCUAUGAGAUAAGUCCUGGGAGCAGGAGGCAGCAGGACGCAGCUCAAGCCUAGGGCAUAAGGGGCCAGCCAAUGCAUGAGGGAGAGACCAAGGUGGGGAGGGAUGGCAGGUGCACAGAGUCAAAUACCAUCUUGCUUAGGCCGCUGUCUCCUACUCGCCCCUGAUUGUUUUUGUCAUCGAGCCUGAAUCAAAGGGAAUUGUCCCUGAGGAUCCCCGUGCUGGGUGAUUUCAUAUAUUGUAGCAGGAAACCAUUUCUGGCCACAGCAGAACCUGAAUGAAGGCACAGAGGACUUUCACAGAGUUCAACAGCGGUGGAAGCAGACGACGGCACUUGCGGAAAAGCAUUGCUUUGAUUCCGUCGGGGGAGCCCUCUCACCUUCCCCUCGCAGACGGAGAGGAUGGGAAGAGGAGAGACAGUGGCUCCAAGUUCUCGAGCUGCCGUCAAGCUCAAAGAACACUCAGUGCAUUUUGUGAAGCUUUCGUAGUGAGUCUGCUGUACGUUCCCCGCUUCCACCGCACGUGGAAUUCUUGGGUAUUAGACGCACAGACCUCACUCUCCUCCGGUUUAGAAUGCGAAUAAUAACGCCUGACCCGCGUCUGUUAAAGUGCUGCCGUGAAUCUCAAAAUGAAGAAAUUAUUACGGGUUUUUUUCCUUUUCUUUUGAAGAUCUCAGAUGAUUUUCUUGGCAGAGAAGAAUUAAUGUAGUGAGAGGGAAUGCAUGCUUUGCAGACUCUGGAUACAGAGACAGAUUGCUCUGCAGAAGAAUCAUGCUGGUUCAUCCGCCCACUGGUCAUCCGUAAAUGUGGGCACUGGAUCCUCAGCCAUCGAGGCUGUGAACCCCUGAGGAUGGGGACCACGCCUUAAUUGCUCGUCCUGGUACCUCCAGUGUCCGACACAGUGUGGCAAAUGUCAUCGGGACGCGAUCAUUUCUGCUGACAGAAUGAAUGGUCAACUGGUGUCUUCCUCAUCAGGCGUGUAUCUGUACACAGGGCUCAUGGACUCUUUAACUUGGAACUUCAUAAUGGCAGCAAAAAGUAUAUGUGUGAAAGAAUGAACUCAUGCUAUGGAAACAAAACUAAAUAAAAACCUAAGCAUAGCGAGGA